GAUGAACGCUGGCGGCGUGCCUAAUACAUGCAAGUCGAGCGAACGGACGAGAAGCUUGCUUCUCUGAUGUUAGCGGCGGACGGGUGAGUAACACGUGGAUAACCUACCUAUAAGACUGGGAUAACUUCGGGAAACCGGAUCUAAUACCGGAUAAUAUUUUGAACCGCAUGGUUCAAAAGUGAAAGACGGUCUUGCUGUCACUUAUAGAUGGAUCCGCGCUGCAUUAGCUAGUUGGUAAGGUAACGGCUUACCAAGGCAACGAUGCAUAGCCGACCUGAGAGGGUGAUCGGCCACACUGGAACUGAGACACGGUCCAGACGCCCACGGGAGGCAGCAGUAGGGAAUCUUCCGCAAUGGGCGAAAGCCUGACGGAGCAGCGCCGCGUGAGUGAUGAAGGUCUUCGGAUCGUAAAACUCUGUUAUUAGGGAAGAACAUAUGUGUAAGUAACUGUGCACAUCUUGACGGUACCUAAUCAGAAAGCCACGGCUAACUACGUG
rnacentral:rRNA from 1 species